UACGUAGGGUGCAAGCGUUAAUCGGAAUUACUGGGCGUAAAGCGUGCGCAGGCGGUUAUGCAAGACAGAGGUGAAAUCCCCGGGCUCAACCUGGGAACUGCCUUUGUGACUGCAUAGCUAGAGUACGGCAGAGGGGGAUGGAAUUCCGCGUGUAGCAGUGAAAUGCGUAGAUAUGCGGAGGAACACCGAUGGCGAAGGCAAUCCCCUGGGCCUGUACUGACGCUCAUGCACGAAAGCGUGGGGAGCAAACAGC
rnacentral:rRNA from 1 species